AUAGAGAGAAUUCAUGAGGGAGAAGAACACAAUUCACAAUAUCAUUCAAGAUGAAAAUCUGGAUUGCAACCAUAGCUCAUAUAGCCAGCUCAAAAUAAAAGACUCGUAACCAUCUUUCCUAAACCCAAGUAAAGCAUGGCACGUGUCCUAACUACUUCAACAAUUUCAGCUGGCAUAUUCUCGUAUCAACAUGGUAGCAUGAAACAAAUGACAUAAUCCAAAUUGCAAAAUGUUUGAUGUAACGGGGAUGUAUUUCAGCUAUAUGAUCUCUCUUUGUUUUCCUCAUAGAAGAUUCAAUAACUUGCAUUUGUUAUGUGCUAGAUGUUGGAGGUCAGGAACUUUC
rnacentral:misc_RNA from 1 species